rnacentral:rRNA from 1 species
ACAUUACUGGAAAAUGGCUCCUCUAUAUAAUAUACUUAAGGGGUGAGUAACACGUGGGCAACCUGCCUGUAGACUGGGAUAACAUCGAGAAAUCGGUGCUAAUACCGGAUAAUAAAAAGAACUGCAGGUUCUUUUUUGAAAGAUGGUUUCGGCUAUCACUUACAGAUGGGCCCGCGGCGCACUAGCUAGUUGGUGGGGUAACGGCUCACCAAGGCGACAUGCGUAGCCCACCUGAGAGGGUGAUCGGCCACACUGGGACUGAGACACGGCCCAACUCCUACGGGAGGCAGCAGUAGGGAAUCUUCCGCAAUGGACGAAAGUCUGACGGAGCAACGCCUCGCGAGUGAUGAAGGUUUUCGGAUCGUAAAACUCUAUUGUUAGGGAAGAACAAGUGCCGUUCGAAAGGGCGGCACCUUGACGGUGCCUAACGAGAAAGCCACGGCUAACUACAUGCCAGCAGCCGCGGUAAUACGUAUGUGGCAAGCGUUGUCCGGAAUUAUUGGGCGUAAAGCGCGCGCAGGCGGUCUCUUAAGUCUGAUGUGAAAGCCCCCGGCUCAACCGGGGAGGGUCAUUGGAAACUGGGAGACUUGAGUACAGAAGAGGAGAGUGGAAUUCCACGUGUAGCGGUGAAAUGCGUAGAGAUGUGGAGGAACACCAGUGGCGAACGCGACUCUCUGGUCUGUAACUGACGCUCAGGCGCGAAGCGUGCGGAGCAGACAGGAUCAGAUACCCUGGUACUCCACGCCUUAACGAUGAGUGCUAUGUGUUAGGGGUUUCGAUGCCCUCAGUGCCGAAGUUGACACCUUAAUGCACUACGACCGGGGCAGUACGACCGCAGGGUCGAUCCUCAUCAGAAUUAGACAGAGCGGCCCGCACACGCUUGCAGCAAGAUGAUUUCAUUACGAAGCACGCGACGUACCUUAACAGUCUGACAUGCAUUGACUACCCUAGAGAUAUGUGCUUUCCCCUUCGGGGGACAAAGUGACAGGUGGUGCAUGGUGGUCGUCAGCUCGUGUCGUGAGAUGUUGGGUUAAGUCCCGCAACGAGCGCAACCCUUGACCUUAGUUGCCAGCAUUCAGUUGGGCACUCUAAGGUGACGCCGGUGACAAACCGGAGGAAGGUGGGGAUGACGUCAAAUCAUCAUGCCCCUUAUGACCUGGGCUACACACGUGCUACAAUGGAUGGUACAAAGGGUUGCGAAGCCGCGAGGUGAAGCCAAUCCCAGAAAGCCAUUCUCAGUUCGGAUUGCAGGCUGCAACUCGCCUGCAUGAAGCCGGAAUUGCUGGUAAUCGCGGAUCAGCAUGCCGCGGUGAAUACGUUCCCGGGCCUUGUACACACCGCCCGUCACACCACAAGAGUUUGUAUCUCCCGUAAGCCGUUGGGGUAGCUCAUCUCAGUAGCCCCCAAA